GGGGCGGGUGCCGCGGGAGAAGCUCUCCAACGUGUCCUUCUGCCAUCGCUGGGAAUGAUGGUUCCUUUAAGCCCUUACAAAUUGCAAAAGUUGAGGAAGACAGAGAAAUAAUUAAUGUAUUAAAACAAGCAGCGAAUUCCUCAGGAGGCACCUUAUCAACUCCAGCCACACUGGCUUCAUCCCUCCUCGUAUGCUAAUGCCCCGUGACGUCAUCGGCGCCAGAUUGAAUGUGAAUCAGUUAUGAAAUUAUUAGUUUUAGCUUAAAAAGCAAUCUGGCUCUCCCGCGAGUGGGCUUUGCGUUGCUGCGGGUUCUCGCUCCAUGUCCUCCCCAUGUUAUGCACACACAGUAGUUGCGACUUUCCUAUCGCAAUGAAUCAAUAUUUCCAAAGCACACAUCCGAACGGGGGGUGAUGUAAAGAAACCCAUAGAUUAAUUGGGUCCCGUUUCUGAGACGGCUGUGUUUAUCGAUACACACUUUACACCCGAAACCAGACACUCGGAUUUCCUCCUACUUUUCAGCUUUCUGUAACUCCAGUCAUCUCUGUCCCAAACCGGAGAGGACCUCAUUUCCUGCUCAGUGCUCUGCCAACCACAAGGUCUUUUCAUAAGGCUGCCAGGGGUGCCUGGCUGCGGGAAGGACAGUCAGUGUUUGUCACCAGGGAAUGAGCUGGCAUCAUAGCUCUGAUCUGAGUCAACAACCUGGCUAGCCCUGAGCAUGACUUCAUAAAUCAUGGGUCUGUGUGAUCUCCUCCUGUGAGAGGCAACUCAGCAGCUCGGUCCCCUCUGCCAUCUCAGCACUGCCAGUGGAAAAGCCCAGGAGGAGCAGAGCAGUGGCUGAGCAACAAUUUGAAUAUUCAUAUUUAACCCUUCGAACAACAGAAGAUACGUCACAACCAUGUUAAGAAGGAUAAGCUUGGAGUGCCCAGUCACCGUGGUAACUGCCAGAAAAAUUCUCCUGAAGUUUGAAGAGGUCAGCUAACGGGGUCAACAACUCUGGCCUCUCUCUGAGCUGGGCCUGGCAGGCUCCAUCCUGCGGUUGGGGUGUUAGCACAGGCUGAGCCCUGGGAGGUGGACCAUUCCAGCUCUGAUAUAAAUUUUUUGAGUCAGUUCACGGCCUGGACUCUCCAGGUGGCCUCCAAAAUCGAUUGUGACCUUGUGACCCUGUCUAACGGAGGCAUAGCAUCCAACCUAAGUAAGGAUUUAGCCAGGAACGACAGCUUUCCACUGAGUGUUAUUGGGGACAGUACAAACAGUUUGGGAAGCAAGGAGAUCAGCCCUCUUCAGAACCCCAUUUCUGGCAAUCUCAGCAACACGUGGGGGUCUGGCAGCUUCUGCAAACAUUGCCAUCUUCCCUCCCUGCUCCUUCUGCACUGUUACACCAGCUCCACAACCUGUCAUUUCUCAGGAGCCCUUAAUGAUGCCUUUCCUCCAUCAUCUGCCCCACGGCUCUUCCAGAAUCAGAUGCUUUUGUCAAAGUUUUUCAAGCCAAUCUAGAAAUAGAUACUGAAAUAAAGGCAGGUGAUCUGGUGGUGGGGUGACGUUCUGUCACUGCCUUCCUGCCCUGCAUCAGCAGAGUACAGACCAUCUCCUGAGCUCAGCAUAAAAUAAGAAUAAUAAUAAGAACUUUGCAAAGUGCUUUUAUAUCCCUGGAAGAUUUGAUGCAAAUUAAAACCCACCUAGGUUUUGUCAAAUCUAACUCUACCCAACACUUCACCUUCUCCACUGCUGUCUUUUAGCUGCUGAAGACUUGCUGAUAAGCCUUUUAGAGUCAGGCUUUUGUGUCAUGCCUUGCAUAAAGUGACAUUUGGGCUUUUAAACUACCCUUGUGUUUGUAACACACAUAGCAGCACUGGUAUAUUUUUUUUUUCCACAUGCAUCCUCACUUUGCAGAAUAAAAACCCCAACCCCGAACAAACUACAAACAGCCUGAUGAUGCGUGGUGUGGAGUGCCCGGUAACCUUUGUGUGCUCCAGGCAGAGCUCAGCUUUGUCGUGGUCAUUAGUGGGCCAGCACACAUUGAAAUGUGUGAUCUAUUCCUUCCUGAGCCCCAGUGAUGCCUUGCUUAGCAGUUCCUCUCGCUGGUGAGUUGCUCUUGUAAUUUCCAGUUAUGUAACCCAUCUCAUUUUGUGAAUAUGUGAAUUUAACAGCUGUCAGUGUCAGCAGCGGCUGCGAGGGGUGUGUGUCUUUUUUUUUUUUUUUUUUUGGCAAGCUGGCAUUACUCAUCAGUCUCAUGGUAGUUUUGUUUGAAAAAUGCUUGUGUUAGAAAAAGUGGAUUUAUCAGCUCAGCACUGUAUGGUGCUAGCAUGCAGCUCAACAAAAGACAAGUGCUCAUUUCAGUAACGCUUGCAGCAUUUCAUGGGGGCCCCAAAUAGGCUGAACAAGGCUUCUCUGGCAGCUAACCCCAAGUACAGUGGGAAACUAUUAAAGUGGCAGUGUCACUGCCUGGAAAAGGGAUUCAGUUUUGUUCCAUCAUUUAUUGCUGCCUUUUUUUUUUUUAAGUAAAGACUAUUAACUGCAUUAGAAAUUUCCCUGAAUAUUGGAGAAAAGAAGAGACCUAACUGAAAAUAUACUGCCAGAAGUGAUUUUUCUCAUAGUUUCUUGGAGCGUAGACCAAACUGUCAGUCUGUCCUUCCCAAAGUGGGUCUUUUUUAGGAGGAAAAAUAAGAUACUUGCAGCUUUUUCAAGUAAUAUUACAAAGUCAGUGGUGCUGCAGCCUUUCAGGGAGAACUCAUUCUCUCUUCAAAUCAGUUUAUUUUCAGAAAGAUUUGCUGCACUUACACUUUCUUUUGUAGCUGCUCUUCCAGAAUGCAAAUAUAACCUAGAGAGUUUUCUGUAUUUAAUUGAAUGUGUGAGGUGGUUAAAAAUAUGUUUUAAAAGCAGUAUUACAUACUGCAAAUGUGUCAAACCCUUUGUUCACAUUUAUUUAAAACAAAUGUAUUUUUCAGUAUUUAUUUAUUUAUUCUCUCUGUUUACAGUCCACACAGAUGGUAAAGAUAAACCAGUGAGCUUCAUUUUUUCUGAAAAAUUGCCUCUCGCAUUUUUAGGUUCUCACACACUGGCAAGAUGCUACAAACCCACGUGACAAAGAUCAGAGGGAAAUACUUAUUUGAAGAAAUCUUUGUCAUUAGCUGUGUUGUAAGUUUUAUAAAAGGUUCAAUUUCACGAAAUGCAAAUUCUAGCCUAAUUGUUCCUCUGCAAGCCUUUACGGUCUCUGAGCUGCAUAGUUAAUCUGCUACCCGCCUCUACUCAGAGGGUCAGAGCCGGGUGAAACUUGUCUUCACACACCAAUUACAUCUAUUUUUAACUUUUUUUUUUUUGCUUGUUUACCGUAACUUGCAUCCAGACAAAUGUAUUUGAACAUGCACACCUUUAAGGCUGCACAAGGGCCAAACACGUCCCCCCUGUGGGGACAGCCACCCUCAGAUACAUUUCUGGGUGUCCACCUCCCACAUGUAGGUGUGCUCCAGAUGCUGCUGUGGCUGGAUGGGAGGAAUGGGUGGAUGCAGCUCCCAUCUCAUCCAUCCGCUGUUUCACCAUGGAGAGAGGUGGCUACAGUGAAGUGUCUGCUCUCUGCAAGGACAGAGGUUUGAAGUUAUCAGCUCCUUAGAGUUGUAGAGACUACAAACUUGAAUGCACUCUGGCAUUAUGUGGUGUCUGCACACACACUGUGCAGCCCCUGUAGCCUCCACAUCCCUGCCCCAGUGUCCUGCAGCAUCCCAUGGGCAUACAUGAAGCAGCCACCUCUGGACACCAAGAGCUCACUGUGAUUAACCUGUUGGCUUUCAAGCACGUGUGAAGACAGCACUGUGGUAGCAGGUAAGAUGUUUGUAUUUCAGCUUGGUACUCAGAAAACUGGGUACUUCCUACAGUGUUUCUAUAAUGUGGAAAAUUGAAGACCCUUGGUGUUUAGUCAGGCCAGGUACAGACGACAUACCAAAAUGAUGCUUCAGGGAAGCAGGGAAGACAUUCAGUUCCUUCUCCCUUGACUGGACUAAAUUUGAAAGCUGUAGAGAGGCACCAAGAGCAAACUGGCAAUCCAGGGUUUGGGGGCAUGGAAACUGUUGAAGCCCUUCCACCACUGGUACUCCAGUAACCUCUAUCUUGUUCCCAUUCAGGGUAAAGCUGUGCAGAGACUGCUCACUGUUCUUCUGGGGCUAUUAGUGAGUAAUAUUUCCUUCCAGACUCCUUGUACCCUCACAUUUGUAGCUCAUCCUCUGGCACCUGGCAGAGAAGUCAGGGUCAGAUACACCACAAGGCCCUGGUGUGUGUAACUAAGAAAUGCAGUUGGAAAAGCCAAGAGAAGGUUAUAUCAGUGACUGUGCAAAGUUGAGGGAUGGCUGUUUUGGCAUGGAGAGCAGGUACUGAAAUAUUUGUCCCACACCUACCGCAGAAAAGUUGUGAUCUUUGACUUGAGUGACAGAGGAAUGGGGGACUGGGAUGUCUCAGCCCAAACUCCCUUAAGACUUGGCUUGAUGGGUGAGAUCUCGAACACAGCCAGAGCCUAUGACAUUAAAGGCUUUAUAAAAGCAACAGUGCCAGUUUAAAAUGAACCUCCCACAUUACUUGCAGCCCCAGCAGGUGUAAUGUGAUCCAGGUAGCCCAAGCCAGUGAGUAAACAAACUGCUGCUUUCCGAAUGAGUUGCACUAGAGAAACACUUCUAACUGGGAAUUACAGUGGGUAAUUGCUAUCUGCUGAUAUUGAGAGACCGGUGAGAAUGGACAGGAUCCUAUGACUCUAAUUCUUCUUAUUCCACACAGGUUUUUCUCUCUCUACCUAAAAUGAGGUAGGGAAAAAAUGUAGGGAAAAGUUUUCCUAGUAAGCCUGUAAAGUUUAGUAGGAUUGGGCCUGAAUUAGCUCCUUGAACUUCAGUGGGGUCUGUUGCUGGGUUUCCCUAAGCCAGAGAAAACAAUCCUACUGCUUCCAAACUGCCAAGCCAGUCAGCAGCAUUUAAUAUUGUCCCCAAAGAAGCUGCUUCACUGCUGUUCUGUUGGGUUCCUAGUCCCAUUUCCAGUGAGCAGUAUUAACUUAGGGCUUUUUACUUGGCUACGACACUGGCCAUUUUUUUCUCCUUCAAUGCCACCUCUUAAGCCUUCCAGCUAUGGGGAAUUCAUCCUCCACAGACAGCCCUACUGUACAGACCAGCUGAACAGAGGCUGAAUGCACCAUUUUAGAUCCUUUAGGUGUUACUGCCCGGCUCCCUAUCUGGGACAAGUGCAUAAAACUAAAAACUAAAAGAAGGUACAUAUGUCCAAGUAGAGUCUGGACUUUGACAAGUAUUAUGGGCUUAGCAGGCUUUAAGACUCACUGCAGAGUCUUUGGAGGCUGUGGGUACGCUACACUGAGGUCCCAGCAGUCCAGCUCUGCUCCAGCAUUUCUGCCUCCCAGCCUGGGUCCCAUCCUGUCCCAGACAGCCUCCCCCCCUCCCCAUGCCCACGCUCCAGUUAUUCGUGAGUUAUGAUAACAUAUAAGCAGCUUAGAGAAUUCUUAUCAGAAUAAGUUGAACACAAUGCAACAUUUAACUCUUAAUGACAGCCACCUCUGACUGUGAGUGACAUGUUAUAAAUUAUGUUUGAACGGGAUUUUUUUUUCAGAGGCAGAUAUUCCCUCUGCCACCCAGUCAGCCCUGUAACGUUGCACUUGUGGCCUUAAUCCCACUUGGAUGUGUGCCCUGCUGCCUCCACUUUCCGUCACUUGGGUACUUUAGUAUUCUUGAACAAGUGAACAAUCUUUGUUUCUGUACCUUAUUAGGCCAAAGACCAUAGCAGCUAGCGAUGGCAUCAGCAGGCCCUGCAGGCAGGAUUCUCUGCAGACACAGCCAACCUCCAACAAACCCCUUUUUAUCCUCCUGUUUCUAGGAAGAAUUAUGAUGGUGGUGCCCUGCUGUUGAUCAGUCAAAUCUGUGGUAGGCCUAGAGAUAAGUCCUGUAAGUGUGGUGUACUGUAAAACAGCGGCUCCCAUUCAUUAGUAGCUUGUGUGUAAUAAACCACCCAAAGGAGGGGGUUGGGGAGGGAGAGGGACGAGCAGCUGCAGUAUGCAGGAACAAACAACACAACUCAUUCUCGGGAGCCAAAACUUUCUAAUUUGCUGCUGGGCUGCUGGGAGCACUCAAAUUCUUUCUGAUAAUACGCUCGUGCCCUCAGUGUCUCUCCUCGUGUUUCCCAAGUCCUGCUCUCCCGAGGUCCCUGAGUCUGGGAUAGUUUCACUCUGAACCCAAAACACAGAGGGUAGCUGAGCGGGGAGGAGGGGAACACAUCAGCUGCCCAGUGUUUGCAGACUCCAGCAUAAGAAAACCGUGGACUCAGAGACAAGUCAUUCUCCCGGGGAAUGGCUGUUGUACGUAUCUGCUUGUGCAGUGAGUAAACAAAGCAUCACAUGGGCUGCAGGGCAAGCAGGAGACAUGGAGCAAACCCAUGGGUAUCUGGGCAUGCAGGAGGACAGUGUCUCAAAUGUUCUUACUGAUUUAGAGACUGCUGGAAUAUUCAGGAACCUCUGUCUCCCAAGAGGUAAAAACCCUGACUAAACUCAAAUCAGUAACAGCUGAAAAAUUAUUUGGCUGAAUCUGUACUAUUUUUUUCACAAGUUCUUGUAAAUAUUUAUAGCUUAUAGGCAUGUUAAUUUAAAUGGAGUCUGCUAAAUAUAAUGUAAGAUGUUACAUGUGUUGAGACAUCAGUAGUUCCUAAUAUUUGCAUAGCUGUGGAUACAUUGGUGCUUUCACAUCUCAGCCUUGGACACUCCAACUGCCUGUGGAACAUUUCAGACCAGGAUUUGAAGAUAUCGUGUGUUGCAGAAUUGCUUUUAUAGACCAGGCCUUUGUGCUAAUGUUUGUAUUAUCACAGGAAAAUGAAAUUAUUUUCAGAUAGAUGCUGCUCUGGAGGACUGCUGUACCCUUGCAGGAGAUGACAGUGACUGCUUUUUCACAGUGAUGUACCAGGCUGUGACGGUGCUUGGACUGUCUCAUAACAUUUGUAUAGACAAGGGCUACUUUAAUGGCAAAUUCAGGCUCGGGCCAAACUGCAAGCACUCUUUAUGUAGACAAGGCAAAAUUGCAGAUUUGAGAUUUCCACCUUCCUAGAGGAGAUCCAUCUCUCUGCUCUCUGGGAGGAGCUGUGCUGUGAGUUGCCCAAGUUUUAAGCUGGGAAAUGAGAGGUGCUUCUGCCAGGCUGCUGCUUGGUAAAGUUACACAGUGGGGUGAGAUGAAAACAUCCUGAAGAGCCCUCGCAUGCAUCCACAAAAUAGUGUUAACUAAAUCUGGGCACAUCUUCUGAAAGUUCAGGUGGUACCGUUGAGGUAGUUCUGAUUGUGGCAUUUUGGCAUUUUUAACAAAGUCAAAGUAAUUUGGCACUUCGAUUUUCCUUCCUCAAACUUAGGUAGGUAAGCAGGCAAGUGGAUAGCUUUAUAAUAAAAAUUGUCUGCUCGGUGCCCAUUUCCAACGUGGAUCCUGAUCUCAUUAUUUUUUUUCCUGGAUUUUCAGCUAGAAUUGCAACAAGGAACAUUUUAUAUGAAUCUCUCCAUGACUUUUCAAAGAAAAUUGCAAAGGUAACACCUCUGGUAAUUGCUGUACUGUAUAAGUAAAUGAGGGACCCCCCAAUUGAAAACUCCAGCACUAGUCAGACUGACUUGUUCCCCCAAGAGCUGGCAGCACACAACAGGUACCCACCUACCUGUGGUCAUGUUGUCAGCAGGCUUGAAGUUAUAGAUGAGACCAGCAAAUCGAGUGAAUGUGCUGGGUCGGUAUGAAAUCAGCAGAGGAAGGUUUUUCUGAGGGUUUGAGCCCCAUCUCCAGCACAAGCAAAGCCAUGUAAUCCUUUCCUUUGCAAUUAGAGCUGAAAAAUAGCCCCGGGGCCAGAGCACUCGCACAAGGAGCAAUUAGACAAGCUAGACACUGGGAAAAGCUAAAAAUAGUAAAUAAUCUGCCUCCACAAAAAUACCUUGAGUCAUUAGAAAAGGACAUUUUAUGAAUUUCCCAGGAAUCACUUACUGCUUUAAUGUGUUCACAGUGUUCUGCCCAGGAGGGCUAUAUUCCAACUGCUGUUUGACAGAGGUAAACAUGAGUAACACGACUCUCUUCUUACACUUGAGACACUGAAAACCCUUGAGAGAUAAUUCAAGAGGAA